rnacentral:rRNA from 1 species
AGGGAAUCUUCGGCAAUGGACGAAAGUCUGACCGAGCAACGCCGCGUGAGUGAAGAAGGUUUUCGGAUCGUAAAACUCUGUUGUUAGAGAAGAAUAAGGAUGAGAGUAAAAAGUUCAUCCCUUGACGGUAUCUAACCAGAAAGCCACGGCUAACUACGUGCCAGCAGCCGCGGUAAUACGUAGGUGGCAAGCGUUGUCCGGAUUUAUUGGGCGUAAAGCGAGCGCAGGCGGUUUCUUAAGUCUGAUGUGAAAGCCCCCGGCUUAACCGGGGAGGGUCAUUGGAAACUGAGGAACUUGAGUGCAGAAGAGGAGAGUGGAAUUCCAUGUGUAGCGGUGAAAUGCGUAGAUAUAUGGAGGAACACCAGUGGCGAAGGCGACUCUCUGGUCUGUAACUGACGCUGAGGCUCGAAAGCGUGGGGAGCAAAC